rnacentral:rRNA from 1 species
UACGUAGGGUGCGAGCGUUGCCCGGAUUUAUUGGGCGUAAAGAGCUCGUAGGCGGUCUGUCGCGUCUGCUGUGAAAACCUAGGGCUUAACUCUGGGCGUGCAGUGGGUACGGGCAGGCUAGAGUGCGGUAGGGGAGACUGGAAUUCCUGGUGUAGCGGUGAAAUGCGCAGAUAUCAGGAGGAACACCGGUGGCGAAGGCGGGUCUCUGGGCCGUAACUGACGCUGAGGAGCGAAAGCAUGGGGAGCGAACAGG